rnacentral:rRNA from 1 species
GUGGGGAAUAUUGCACAAUGGGGGGAACCCUGAUGCAGCCAUGCCGCGUGAAUGAAGAAGGCCUUCGGGUUGUAAAGUUCUUUCGGUGACGAGGAAGGUUGGUAUGUUAAUAGCAUAUCAAAUUGACGUUAAUCACAGAAGAAGCACCGGCUAACUCCGUGCCAGCAGCCGCGGUAAUACGGGGGGUGCGAGCGUUAAUCGGAAUAACUGGGCGUAAAGGGCACGCAGGCGGUGACUUAAGUGAGAUGUGAAAGCCCCGGGCUUAACCUGGGAAUUGCAUUUCAUACUGGGUCGCUAGAGUACUUUAGGGAGGGGUAGAAUUCCACGUGUAGCGGUGAAAUGCGUAGAGAUGUGGAGGAAUACCGAAGGCGAAGGCAGCCCCUUGGGAAUGUACUGACGCUCAUGUGCGAAAGCGUGGGGAGCAAACAGG